CUAGUAGGAUGUAUCCAUCAGA
rnacentral:miRNA from 2 species